rfam:Anaerovibrio lipolyticus strain 5S contig00240, whole genome shotgun sequence.
CUUUAUAUAAGUGAUUGAUACUUUGGUGGUUCGGUGUUGGAAAUGGAUUCUAGUGGCAAACGGGUGAGUAACGCGUAGGCAACCUGCCCUUCAGAUGGGGACAACAUUUCGAAAGGAAUGCUAAUACCGAAUGACGUGCGUUGGUCGCAUGACCGAUGUACCAAAGGCCGGGCAACCGGUCACUGAAGGAUGGGCCUGCGUCUGAUUAGCUGG